GAGGGCCCUACAGGAGCGACCUGAGAUCACAUGCGGGCGCGUGCGUCGGCCGGCCGCCCGGUGAUAUGCCGUCGCCCCUAGGCAUUUGCGUCGCAUGUGUUCUCAGGUCGCCCCUGCCGGGCCAUC
rnacentral:pre_miRNA from 1 species